rnacentral:rRNA from 1 species
GAUGAACGCUGGCGGCGUGCCUAAUACAUGCAAGUCGAGCGAAUGGAUUAAGAGCUUGCUCUUAUGAAGUUAGCGGCGGACGGGUGAGUAACACGUGGGUAACCUGCCCAUAAGACUGGGAUAACUCCGGGAAACCGGGGCUAAUACCGGAUCACAUUUUGAACCGCAUGGUUCGAAAUUGAAAGGCGGCUUCGGCUGUCACUUAUGGAGGGACCCGCGUCGCAUUAGCGAGUUGGUGAGGUAACGGCUCACCAAGGCAACGAUGCGUAGCCGACCUGAGAGGGUGAUCGGCCACACUGGGACUGAGACACGGCCCAGACUCCUACGGGAGGCAGCAGUAGGGAAUCUUCCGCAAUGGACGAAAGUCUGACGGAGCAACGCCGCGUGAGUGAUGAAGGCUUUCGGGUCGUAAAACUCUGUUGUUAGGGAAGAACAAGUGCUAGUUGAAUAGGCUGGCACCUUGACGGUACCUAACCAGAAAGCCACGACUAACUACGUGCCAGCCGCCGCCGUAA